rnacentral:misc_RNA from 1 species
GUGAAUCAUCGAAUUUUUGAACGCAAAUUGCACUUUCUGGUAUUCCGGAAAGUAUGCCUGUUUGAGGGUCAGUAUUAAUAAAAAAUCGGUUUAGUUACAAAUUGUGACGUUUCCGGAGUUUGGGCUAUCUUAACAUUUUUGGUUAAGAGGCUUAAAAUUGACCUUUUUCUUCGUGUCUUGACCAGUCAAAAAAUUUUUUUUAUUGCUCUUUCUUUAUAUUAAAAUACUAAUUUUAAGCACAAAAUAGGCGUG